rnacentral:rRNA from 1 species
CCUACGGGAGGCAGCAGUGAGGAAUAUUGGUCAAUGGGCUUACGCCUGAACCAGCCAAGUCGCGUGAGGGAAGACUGCCCUAUGGGUUGUAAACCUCUUUUGUCAGGGAGCAACGCCGGCUACGUGUAGCCGGACUGAGAGUACCUGAAGAAAAAGCAUCGGCUAACUCCGUGCCAGCAGCCGCGGUAAUACGGAGGAUGCGAGCGUUAUCCGGAUUUAUGGGGUUUAAAGGGUGCGUAGGCGGAAUGUCAAGUCAGCGGUAAAAUCGCGGGGCUCAACCUCGCUCCGCCGUUGAAACUGGCGUUCUUGAGUGGGCGAGAAGUAUGCGGAAUGCGUGGUGUAGCGGUGAAAUGCAUAGAUAUCACGCAGAACUCCGAUUGUGAAGGCAGCAUACCGGCGCCCAACUGACGCUGAAGCACGAAAGCGUGGGUAUCGAACAGGAUUAGAUACCCGGGUAGUC